UGAACCCAAACCUCGCGUGGACGCUUUUGUUUACAUUGUAUGUGCUCAAACAUUUUCUCCCGUCCGAAAGCCAGGUAUCAGCGACAGUUAAUGACCCUGGAGACAAGAAGAUCCCGUCGAACCUGGACUGAUCGGCUGCUCAGAAAACACGAACCUACAGUGUGUGCUGCAGUGAAGGCGACAACAAAAGGCGUCAGUCACCCUAUCUCUGCCAAAACACAGGUGACGACAGGACAGAUUGGGAAGCCGUGAUGGCGGCACAGAAGUUGAGGGAGAAGCUAUUUAUCCCAGACGGAUCAGGAGGUGUGUGACGGAGGUGUGGACGGUUGCUGCAGGUCAGUGACGUUGGCAGGCGCCAGGCAGGCCGGCCCACAUGGCUCGGGGACUGUGGGACUACAGACAGAUGGCACCUGGUGGGUGACAAACAAUUAACAAACCAACAAGAAUAGCUGGAUCGGCAGUAUACCCACAAGCACAGGAGAUAGCAAGAGAGCGGGUGCAUCUGUGCUCAGAACAUUUUCACUCUUUACUUUUCCUCUUCCCCGAGUCUUGUUUUGUAUAACAGUUGCAAUUUACCCAUGUGUCUUUUUCACAAAAACACUCUUGUUGUCGUGUCGCUAUAGAACAGUCUAAAUAAAGCGGUGUUGAACAUAUGCGGCCAGCAUAUGUUUCUGUUUAUUUCAGUACAGUUUUGAGAGAAGCAGUGGGUAAUUUAAAUGUAUAAUACAA